rnacentral:rRNA from 1 species
CCAACGUGCGAGCGGAUGACGGGAGCUUGCUCCUGGAUUCAGCGGCGGACGGGUGAGUAAUGCCUAGGAAUCUGCCUGGUAGUGGGGGAUAACGUCCGGAAACGGGCGCUAAUACCGCAUACGUCCUGAGGGAGAAGGUGGGGGAUCUUCGGACCUCACGCUAUCAAAUGAGCCUAGGUCGGAUUAGCUAGUUGGUGGGGUAAAGGCCUACCAAGGCGACGAUCCGUAACUGGUCUGAGAGGAUGAUCAGUCACACUGGAACUGAGACACGGUCCAGACUCCUACGGGAGGCAGCAGUGGGGAAUAUUGGACAAUGGGCGAAAGCCUGAUCCAGCCAUGCCGCGUGUGUGAAGAAGGUCUUCGGAUUGUAAAGCACUUUAAGUUGGGAGGAAGGGCAGUAAGUUAAUACCUUGCUGUUUUGACGUUCCCAACAGAAUAAGCACCGGCUAACUUCGUGCCAGCAGCCGCGGUAAUACGAAGGGUGCAAGCGUUAAUCGGAAUUACUGGGCGUAGAGCGCGCGUAGGUGGUUCAGCAAGUUGGAUGUGAAAUCCCCGGGCUCAACCUGGGAUCUGCAUCCAAACUACUGAGCUAGAGUACGGUAGAGGGUGGUGGAAUUUCCUGUGUAGCGGUGAAGUGCGUAUAUUAGGAGGGAACACCAGUGGCGAAGGCGACCACCUGGACUGAUACUGACUCUGAGGUGCGAAAGCGUGGGGAGCAACAGGAUUAGAUACCCUGGUAGUCCACGCCGUAACGAUGUCGACUAGCCUUGGGAUCCUUGAGAUCUUAGUGGCGCAUCUACGCGAUAGUCGACCGCCUGGGGGAGUACGGCGCAAGGUUAAACUCAAUGAAUUGACGGGGGGCCCGCACAAGCGGUGGAGCAUGUGGUUU